UCAAGCAAUAAGGGCACAGGGCGGAUGCCUUGGCACUAAGAGCCGAUGAAAGACGUGAUAAGCUGCGAUAAGCUUCGGGGAGGAGCAAAUAUCCAUUGAUCCGGAGAUGUCUGAAUGGGGAAACCCACAUGAGCAAACCUCAUGUAUCCAUACGCCAAUCCAUAACGUAUGGAAGGGAACCCGGGGAACUGAAACAUCUAAGUACCCGGAGGAAAAGAAAGAAAACUCGAUUCCGUAAGUAGCGGCGAGCGAACGCGGAGGAGCCUAAACCGGAAUGCGUGCAUUCCGGGGUUACGGACUGCAUUUAAGAUUCUCUGAAGCUAACAGAACGGUUUUGGGAAAGCCGGCCGGAGAGGGUGAAAGCCCCGUACGUGAAAGCUGAUGAGACUGAGCAGGAUCCAGAGUACCACGAGACACGUGGAACCUUGUGGGAAAUCAGGGGGACCACCCCCUAAGGCUAAAUACUACUUAGUGACCGAUAGCGCAUAGUACUGUGAAGGAAAGGUGAAAAGGACCCCGGGAGGGGAGUGAAAGAGAACCUGAAACCCUGUGUUUACAAGCUGUCGAAGCACGAAAGUGCGACGGCGUACUUUUUGUAGAACGGUCCGGCGAGUUAUGAUGAGUGGUAAGGUUAAGGACUUAAGGUCCGGAGCCGAAGCGAAAGCGAGUGUUAAAAGCACGUUUGAAUCGCUUAUCAUAGACCCGAAACCGGGUGAUCUAUCCAUGUCCAGGUUGAAGCUGCCGUAAGAGGUAGUGGAGGACCGAACCCACAUCCGUUGAAAAGGGUGGGGAUGAGGUGUGGAUAGGGGAGAAAUUCCAAUCGAACCCGGAGAUAGCUGGUUCUCCUCGAAAUAGCUUUAGGGCUAGCCUCAUGAGAGUCUUAUGGAGGUAGAGCACUGAAUUGCCUAGGGGGCGUCAAAGCUUACCAAAGCAUAUCAAACUCCGAAUGCCAUCAAGAUGAUUCAUGGGAGUCAGACCAUACGAGAUAAGUUGGAUGGUCAAAAGGGAAAGAGCCCAGACCUACAGCUAAGGUCCCAAAGUACGUGUUAAGUGGAAAAGGAUGUGGGGAUUCUAAGACAACUAGGACGUUGGCUUAGAAGCAGCCAUUCAUUGAAAGAGUGCGUAAUAGCUCACUAGUCGAGAGUCCCUGCGCCGAAAAUGUCCGGGGCUGAAACACGACACCGAAGCUUAGGAAUGUGUAAACAUUGGUAGAGGAGCAUUGCUGGCGGGAUGAAGCCAUACCGUAAGGAGUGGUGGACUGCUAGGAAGAGAGAAUGCCGGAAUGAGUAGCGAGAUGAAGGUGAGAAUCCUUCAGGCCGAAUAUCUAAGGUUUCCAGAGUAAAGCUGAUCUGCUCUGGGUAAGUCGGGACCUAAGGCGAGGUCGAAAGACGUAGUCGAUGGAUAACAGGUUGAAAUUCCUGUACCGCAUAUAAACAGAACUGUGGGGACACAGACAGGGAAUGGAAUCCGGGAGUGGAGAUCCCGGUGCAAGCGAGGUAGGAGUGCUGUUGGCAAAUCCGCAGCACGAUCUGAAGACGUGACGCGUACCGAACAUAAGUAGGGAAGUCCAGGCCCCUGGCUGUCAAGAAAAGCCGCUAUUGUUUUAUAUGUGCCCGUACCGCAAACCGACACAGGUGGAUGAGGAGAGAAUCCUAAGGCCGACGGGAGAAGUAUUGUUAAGGAACUCGGCAAAAUGACUCCGUAACUUCGGGAGAAGGAGUGCCAUGUAAAAGUGGCCGCAGAGAAUUGGCCCAAGCAACUGUUUAGCAAAAACACAGGUCUAUGCAAAACCGAAAGGUGAAGUAUAUGGGCUGACGCCUGCCCGGUGCUGGAAGGUUAAGGGGAGAGGUUAGCGCAAGCGAAGCUUUGAACUUAAGCCCCAGUAAACGGCGGCCGUAACUAUAACGGUCCUAAGGUAGCGAAAUUCCUUGUCGGGCAAGUUCCGACCUGCACGAAUGGCAUAAUGAUGGCCACACUGUCUCCUCCUGAGACUCAGUGAAGUUGAAAUGUUUGUGAUGAUGCAAUCUCCCCGCGGCUAGACGGAAAGACCCCAUGAACCUUUACUGCAGCUUUGCAUUGGACUUUGAACCGAUCUGUGUAGGAUAGGUGGGAGGCAGUGAAGCUAGGACGCCAGUCUUAGCGGAGCCAACCUUGAAAUACCACCCUGAUUUGUUUGAGGUUCUAACCUAGGAGCGUAAUCCGCUUCGGGGACCGUGCAUGGUAGGCAGUUUGACUGGGGCGGUCUCCUCCUAAAGGGUAACGGAGGAGUGCGAAGGUACGCUAGGUACGGUCGGAAAUCGUGCUGAUAGUGCAAUGGCAAAAGCGUGCUUGACUGCGAGACCGACAAGUCGAGCAGAUACGAAAGUAGGUCAUAGUGAUCCGGUGGCUCUGCAUGGAAGGGCCAUCGCUCAACGGAUAAAAGGUACUCUGGGGAUAACAGGCUGAUACCGCCCAAGAGUUCAUAUCGACGGCGGUGUUUGGCACCUCGAUGUCGGCUCAUCUCAUCCUGGGGCUGUAGCCGGUCCCAAGGGUAUGGCUGUUCGCCAUUUAAAGAGGUACGUGAGCUGGGUUUAAAACGUCGUGAGACAGUUUUGUCCCUAUCUGCCGUGGGCGUUGGAAGAUUGACGGGGGCUGCUCCUAGUACGAGAGGACCGGAGUGGACUCACCUCUGGUGUACCGGUUGUCACGCCAGUGGCAUCGCCGGGUAGCUAUGUGGGGAAAGGAUAACCGCUGAAAGCAUCUAAGCGGGAAACCUGCCUGAAGAUAAGUCUUCCUGGAGGCUUUGACCUCCCUGAAGAGUCGUUCGAGACCAGGACGUUGAUAGGUUGGAUGUGCAAGCGCUGUGAGGCGUUGAGCUGACCAAUACUAAUUGCUCGUGAAGCUUGAUCCU
rnacentral:rRNA from 1 species